GCAGAUCUCCCGUGCGGCGCUAUCGCUUCCGAACUCCCCCAGAGCUGGAAGGCAGCAAGGGUAGGCGCGCUCUAGUGGGUGCGCGGGGGAUCCUAAAA
rnacentral:SRP_RNA from 1 species